GCUUACACAUGCAAGUCGAGCGGUAACAUUUCUAGCUUGCUAGAAGAUGACGAGCGGCGGACGGGUGAGUAACGCGUAGGAAUCUGCCUAGUAGUGGGGGACAACAUGUGGAAACGCAUGCUAAUACCGCAUACGCCCUACGGGGGAAAGGAGGGGAUCUUCGGACCUUUCGCUAUUAGAUGAGCCUGCGUGAGAUUAGCUAGUUGGUGGGGUAAAGGCCUACCAAGGCGACGAUCUCUAGCUGGUCUGAGAGGAUGAUCAGCCACACUGGGACUGAGACACGGCCCAGACUCCUACGGGAGGCAGCAGUGGGGAAUAUUGGACAAUGGGCGCAAGCCUGAUCCAGCCAUGCCGCGUGUGUGAAGAAGGCCUUAGGGUUGUAAAGCACUUUCAGGAGUGAGGAAGGGUGUACGGUUAAUACCCGUAUAUUUUGACGUUAACUCCAGAAGAAGCACCGG
rnacentral:rRNA from 1 species